GUCAAGCGCGGGAAUCGGAACAAAGUAAGACGAAGCAGAAGAGAAAUGGCAACGACCAGCAAGAGAAGGAAAUAUGCGUGCAGCACCGAUCACGCCCAGUAUUUUGGGUCAUGUUGCCAAAUAGGGACCUAAGGGUUGUAUUUAUGCCGAGAAAAAGAUGGCUAUGCUGUUAGCUACAAGCAACAUCCCAUUCACGUUUGCGGAUGUUUUCAACAAGUCCAUGAAGGAUAUGUUCCCGGAUUCGGAGAUCGCUCGCCAGUACGCAAAUGGCAGAACAAUGGCACUGGAAUACUGAAGGGUGCCAUCAUACAUGCCAACCCUCCCGAUUUUUCCGAGAGAAUCCCGAAUUUCGGUGCCCUUCCUGAAAGCCACCAUUCUCCAGAAUUUCUCCUAAUUUCACCCGGACAACAAAAGUGCUAAACCAUCCUUAACUGAGCUUCCGUUGGCGGGCGGACAAUAAUAACGGUGACACCUCGAAGUCAAGCGCGGGAAUCAGAACAAAGGAAGACGAAGCAGAAGAGAAAUGGCAACGACCAGCAAGAGAAGGAAAUAUGCGUGCAGCACGGAUCACGACCCAGUAUUUUGGGGCAUGUUGCUGAAGGUAGACCCAAGGAUGGUGUUUAUGCCGAGACAAAGAUGGCUAUGCUGUUAGCUACAAGCUACAAGCUACAUGUCCCUGAAGGAUAUGUUCCCGGAUUGGGAGAUCGCUCGCCAGUAGGCAAAUGGCAGAACAAAGGCUCAAAUAGUGAAAGGUGCCAUUGCCCAGAAUUGGACUGUGCCUAAACCAACCCUUUGGUCUGAUGUGUGAUGAAAGCACAAACAGAAACUCAGAUAAAGAGUUUGUGAUAUUGGCCAGGGUUUUCUCUCCGAAAACUCAGAAGGGGGUGACGAGGUCCAGCUGGCCACAGGAUGUGGCAUUAGGGCUCUAGGCCAGCCUGUUGAUCACAUCCUCAGCAGCAUUUAUGCUCUUUGACGUCAGUGCCAAACAUGCUGAACUCUUCAAAGAGUUUGUGCAGUUCAGACUCAGAGACUGAAGAUACUCCAAUACUGUGCAACCAGGUGGCCCAGCUUGCUGACUUGUUUUGGCAUAAACCGGGUGCUCAACCAGUGGGAUGCACAGCAGGCCAGUAUGAGGAUGUGGAGAAGCCUGACAAGGUGAAGAUGCUGGCAGAGCAUUUAACCAGCAAGAAGACAAAGUUCUUCUUCCUCUUCCAGGUUCUGAAGCCACUGGCAGAGUUCAAGGUUAUUUCAGGCUGAAGGAGUGAUGGUCCAUUGGCUACACAAGGAGAUGACCAGCCUGGUGAGAAGAUUCAUGGGAAGAUUUUUCCCUGCCAGCCUUAUUGCUGACGUCCCACUGAAGGACAUGAAGUUCAUGGAUGCCAGCCUACAGUUGCCAGACAAAGAACAGUUUCUUGGAGUAGCUGCACAAAGCCUCUGGGGGGACAACAUGGAUGAACUUUCCUCUUCUGUUCCAAUGAUGAUCCAGGCAGUGAGAGACUUCUUUGUAGCUGUGACCGCAAAGAUGAUGACCGCAUUCCCCCUCGACAACAUCAUCCUCCAAAGCCUGACCGUGUUGGAUCCAGAGUCACGGCAUCAAUUUUCUCCAAACUCAGAGCGGGUUCCCCAGUGAAUACUUUCACUCCUUCUUGAACUCAGUGGAAAUGAUCACUGUAGAAUUAACCUCGCCUGUGGAUGCUGUUAUGGCCUGCAAGCCAGAUGAGAAGAUGGUGUUGAACAAAGGCAGCUAUGACUCCACCAGCUCCAGGUUCUCUAACCCAAGUUACUCUGAGCUUUGUAGCCUCCUCCUAUUUCCUCACUCACUGCUGGGAAUCUGAAGCCCUGUGCGGCUGACACGCCUUAUGGCCCUGUUGGUACUCGGGGUGAAGGAAAAAGCACAGAACAGGAACAACUGGUACACGUGUUAUUGUUAGCUGUGCUCUUUUUAUUCCAGCUGGUGAGGGAUCCACAGCCUGUAGCAGCCUCACACACCUUUUAUCACCGUUUCCUCCUCAUGUCCUCAAAGGGCCUGUCUGCACACUGUUAUAUCAUGAGUAAUAGUUGAAAAGAAAUCUGUAUACAUAAAAUAUGUGCAUGCACACACACAACUAAAUAUGUAAUAUUUAGAGUCACUUUUAAUUUAGAUAAGGUAGUUUUUUAGCCUUGGAUACAAACAGUGAAGGGCAGAAAGUGAGACCAUUUUCAAUCACUAAGACAAGAAUUCAAAUGAACACUUAUUUGUUUCUACUUUUGCAAGCUAUAAAAUUAUAGCUCCUCUGAUGAGACUCCUCUCUCCUGUCCCCAGGACAGUAAAAAUCUUCAUGAGUGAAGACGACAUUGACUUUAGAGCUGGAAUAUAAAGUAGACCCCAAUAUUUCGCUUCACAUAAACAUCGUCAUUUAUUCCCUCUUACUGUGGCUGUUUUUCUUCCAUCACGAUAAAAUCACACUUCAUGCAGAGCUCUCUCUCUCUGAGGAAGAGUUUCCCAUCUAAAAAUCUGUUUUCUGCAUUAUUCUCUUGCUUAUUACCCACCAGUCUAACGUUGUUUACAGCACUGUCGGACAUUAUUACUGUUCAAUGCUGAGCAAACUUUUUAAAAUGAUGCAAAAUUGCAUACUGCUUAGCUGUACUUUGCUCUGCUUCAAUUCAGCAGCAUCAGGUAAUGUUCGCUUGUUGAUUCAUGGUUUUCUCCAGUUUUUGUUCUACUGCAGAAUAUUUUUAAGGUUGUCUGUUUAAAAAAAAAAAAACCCA